GGGGGGCUUACCAUGCAAGUCGAGCGGAAUAUUAAAUUUGAGAGCUUCGGCCGGAUGAUUUCAUAUUUUAGCGGCGGACGGGUGAGUAACGUGUGGGCAACCUGCCCUGUACUGUGGAAUAAUCACUGGAAACGGUGACUAAUACCGCAUGUCAUUGCGAGAGGGCAUCCUCUUGCAAGAAAAGGAUUUAUUCGGUACAGGAUGGGCCCGCAUCUGAUUAGCUAGUUGGUGAGAUAACAGCUCACCAAGGCAAUGAUCAGUAGCCGACCUGAGAGGGUGAUCGGCCACAUUGGGACUGAGACACGGCCCAAACUCCUACGGGAGGCAGCAGUGGGGAAUAUUGCACAAUGGGCGAAAGCCUGAUGCAGCAACGCCGCGUGAAGGAAGAAGGGUUUCGGCUCGUAAACUUCUAUCAACAGGGACGAAAAAAAUGACGGUACCUGAAUAAGAAGCCCCGGCUAACUACGUGCCAGCAGCCGCGGUAAUACGUAGGGGGCAAGCGUUAUCCGGAAUUACUGGGUGUAAAGGGAGAGUAGGCGGCAUGGUAAGUUAGAUGUGAAAGCCCGAGGCUUAACCUCGGGAUUGCAUUUAAAACUAUCAAGCUAGAGUACAGGAGAGGUAAGUGGAAUUCCUAGUGUAGCGGUGAAAUGCGUAGAUAUUAGGAAGAACACCAGUGGCGAAGGCGACUUACUGGACUGAAACUGACGCUGAGGCUCGAAAGCGUGGGGAGCGAACAGGAUUAGAUACCCUGGUAGUCCACGCCGUAAACGAUGAGUGCUAGGUGUCGGGGGGGAACCCUCGGUGCCGCAGCUAACGCAAUAAGCACUCCACCUGGGGAGUACGAUCGCAAGAUUGAAACUCAAAGGAAUUGACGGGGGCCCGCACAAGCGGUGGAGCAUGUGGUUUAAUUCGAAGCAACGCGAAGAACCUUACCAAGGCUUGACA
rnacentral:rRNA from 1 species